rnacentral:lncRNA from 1 species
AGACACAUGGAAGGCAGCUGUGUAGGUGAACACUGCAGCUCACACCUGCCCUGUGUCCUCCGUGGGUGACAUCUGGCUGUCCACACCUGAAGCCCUGAUGUCUGAGGGUUCUCCAGAUGUCUGGGGACUGUUCCUAUCCAGCCUGUGCCCCUGUGCUCUGGUGAGUUUCCCAUCCUCCUUUGUGGUGAGAAUGAAGUCAUGUAACAAGCUUCUGACCAGAAGAGCAAAGCAUGGCACCCCACAGGGCCGCUAACCCAACCUCUUCAGCCUCUGAUGUGGACUGAAGACCAACAACCCUCCAGAAAGCUCCCAGCCUGCUGACACCAGGCUAGGGCUCUGAGACCUCCAGGCCCUGGGUACCACUUCCCAGAGAGCCCAACACACAGGCAGUUGUUGGGUUACAGAGCUGUACCAUUCCAUAUCCUGAGUUCUACACCCCCAUAUUCAACCAGCUAUGGCUGCAGUCAGCAGCACACCUCGAUCACAAACUGGCAUCUCCCGUCAGCGCCUGACAAACAACAGGAAAUCAGUGCUGGUUCCACGAGGCUCACAGUACCUAGAGAAACCUGAAGUUUUCCAGACCGCCCCGCUGUCAUGGCAACAGCAGAAGAAACAAACAAAGCUCACAUCAAGCGACUGAACACAAAGCCAUACCAUUAUUUUAAUAAUCGGCAAUGGCCACGCGGGGCUGACAGCAGCAGGCUUUCAGGGCACUGCCGCCAACGUGUCUCUCUCUUGAGAUGUCUUGAAGUGCUCACCGACACGUGUGGGCCUUGGCACUCAGAUCAUGCCUCCAGCUUGGAGUCUCCUCUUGUGUAGACCCUUACUGCCGACAGCGGUCACCAACUAGUGGGCUUGGGAAGCCGGGUGGCCAGAUGGUUAGAGGCCCCAGCCUCAGGCCAAGCAGCCCUGAGUGCAAAUCCAAGCCCUGCACCUUCCAAGCUGGUGAUGGAAGAAAUGGCAGUGCUGGUACAAUUACAUCUCCCUGCUG